rnacentral:rRNA from 1 species
AACGCUAGCUACAGGCUUAACACAUGCAAGUCGAGGGGCAGCAUGGUCUUAGCUUGCUAAGGCCGAUGGCGACCGGCGCACGGGUGAGUAACACGUAUCCAACCUGCCGUCUACUCUUGGACAGCCUUCUGAAAGGAAGAUUAAUACAAGAUGGCAUCAUGAGUCCGCAUGUUCACAUGAUUAAAGGUAUUCCGGUAGACGAUGGGGAUGCGUUCCAUUAGAUAGUAGGCGGGGUAACGGCCCACCUAGUCUUCGAUGGAUAGGGGUUCUGAGAGGAAGGUCCCCCACAUUGGAACUGAGACACGGUCCAAACUCCUACGGGAGGCAGCAGUGAGGAAUAUUGGUCAAUGGGCGAGAGCCUGAACCAGCCAAGUAGCGUGAAGGAUGACUGCCCUAUGGGUUGUAAACUUCUUUUAUAAAGGAAUAAAGUCGGGUAUGGAUACCCGUUUGCAUGUACUUUAUGAAUAAGGAUCGGCUAACUCCGUGCCAGCAGCCGCGGUAAUACGGAGGAUCCGAGCGUUAUCCGGAUUUAUUGGGUUUAAAGGGAGCGUAGAUGGAUGUUUAAGUCAGUUGUGAAAGUUUGCGGCUCAACCGUAAAAUUGCAGUUGAUACUGGAUAUCUUGAGUGCAGUUGAGGCAGGCGGAAUUCGUGGUGUAGCGGUGAAAUGCUUAGAUAUCACGAAGAACUCCGAUUGCGAAGGCAGCCUGCUAAGCUGCAACUGACAUUGAGGCUCGAAAGUGUGGGUAUCAAACAGGAUUAGAUACCCUGGUAGUCCACACGGUAAACGAUGAAUACUCGCUGUUUGCGAUAUACAGCAAGCGGCCAAGCGAAAGCGUUAAGUAUUCCACCUGGGGAGUACGCCGGCAACGGUGAAACUCAAAGGAAUUGACGGGGGCCCGCACAAGCGGAGGAACAUGUGGUUUAAUUCGAUGAUACGCGAGGAACCUUACCCGGGCUUAAAUUGCAGAUGAAUUACGGUGAAAGCCGUAAGCCGCAAGGCAUCUGUGAAGGUGCUGCAUGGUUGUCGUCAGCUCGUGCCGUGAGGUGUCGGCUUAAGUGCCAUAACGAGCGCAACCCUUGUUGUCAGUUACUAACAGGUUCCGCUGAGGACUCUGACAAGACUGCCAUCGUAAGAUGUGAGGAAGGUGGGGAUGACGUCAAAUCAGCACGGCCCUUACGUCCGGGGCUACACACGUGUUACAAUGGGGGGUACAGAGGGCCGCUACCACGCGAGUGGAUGCCAAUCCCCAAAACCUCUCUCAGUUCGGACUGGAGUCUGCAACCCGACUCCACGAAGCUGGAUUCGCUAGUAAUCGCGCAUCAGCCACGGCGCGGUGAAUACGUUCCCGGGCCUUGUACACACCGCCCGUCAAGCCAUGGGAGCCGGGGGUACCUGAAGUGCGUAACCGCGAGGAGCGCCCUAGGGUAAAACUGGUGACUGGGGCUAAG